UACAGAGGUCUCAAGCGUUGUUCGGAUUCAUUGGGCGUAAAGGGUGCGUAGGCGGCGCGGUAAGUCGGGUGUGAAAUCUCGGAGCUUAACUCCGAAACUGCAUUCGAUACUGCCGUGCUUUGAGGACUGGAGAGGAGACUGGAAUUUACGGUGUAGCGGUGAAAUGCGUAGAUAUCGUAAGGAAGACCAGUGGCGAAGGCGGGGUCUCUGGACAGUUCCUGACGCUGAGGCACGAAGGUCAGGGGAGCAAACGGG
rnacentral:rRNA from 1 species